GUGUCAGCCGCCGCGGUAAUACAGAGGUGGCAAGCGUUGUUCGGAAUUACUGGGCGUAAAGGGCGCGUAGGCGGUCCUACAAGUCCCGCGUGAAAGCCCCCGGCUCAACUGGGGAAUGGCGCGGGAAACUGUUGGGCUUGAGUUCGGGAGAGGGAAGCGGAAUUCCGGGUGUAGCGGUGAAAUGCGUAGAUAUCCGGAGGAACACCGGUGGCGAAGGCGGCUUCCUGGACCGACACUGACGCUGAGGCGCGAAAGCUAGGGGAGCAAACGGGAUUAGAUACCCGCGUAGUCC
rnacentral:rRNA from 1 species